CGGUAAUUCCAGCUCCAAUGGUGUAUGCUAACAUUGUUGCAGUUAAAAAGCUCGUAGUCGAAUUUUUAAGGGAAUCAAUUUCGUGUGGUCUUAAUGAACUACAAAGGAAGAUGAUUUAUCUUAUUUUAUGCUAUUCCACCGUUGGAAUUCGCUUUCUGACCGUGAAUUAAGUUUGUAUUUACUUUGAGAAAAUUAGAGUGUUCUAAACAGUCGUACGGCUUUAUCCUAAAGCAUGGAAUGAUAAGCAAUGACAUCGGUUAAUUUCUGUUGGUUUGAGUGGUUGAUGUAAUGAUUUAUAGAGUUAGUCGGAGGUAUUAGUAUUUUGUCGUUAGAGGUGAAAUUCUGGGAUCGACAAAAGACUAACGACUGCGUAAGCAUUUGCCUAGGAUUUGCUCCUUGAUCAAGAACGUCAGUUGAGAGAUCGAAGACGAUCAGAUACCGUCGUAGUCUCAACUUUAAACUAUAUCAGCUAGGGGUUGGCAAAUGUUUAUAUGACUUUGUUAGAACCUUAAGAGAAAUCAAAGCGUUCGGGUUCCGGGGGGAGUAUAGUCGCAAGGCUGAAACUUAAAGGAAUUGACGGAAGGGCACCACAAGAUGUGGAUCCUGUGGCUUAAUUUGACUCAACACUGGGAAACUUACCAGGUCCAGACAUAGGUAAGAUUGACAGAUUGAUCGCUCUUUCUUGAUUCUAUGGGUGGUGGUGCAUGGCCGUUCUUAGUUGGUGGAGUGAUUUGUCUGGUUAAUUCCGUUAACGAACGAGACUAUUACCUGCUAAAUAGCGGAACCUUUUCAUUAGGAUAGUUGCUUCUUAGAGGGACUGGCUUUGCAUAAAUUGCUGGAAGUUGGUAGCAAUAACAGGUCUGUGAUGCCCUUAGAUGUCCUGGGCAGCGCACGGGCUACAAUAGAAGAGUAACUGAGUUUGUACCACUUUGCUCGAAACGGGCUGUGAAAUCUUAAACCUAUUCUUUAAUUGGGAUCGCGCUUUGAAAUUAUUACGUGUAAACCAGGAAUACCUAGUAAGUGUAUGUCAUUAACGUGCACUGAAUACGUCCCUGCCCCUUGUACACACCGCCC
rnacentral:rRNA from 1 species